GGAGUAAAAGUCGUAACAAGGUUUCCGUAGGUGAACCUGCGGAAGGAUCAUUAAUGAGUUGUCAUGGGGUUCGAUGCUGGCAGCCAGUUUUUGGAUGCAUGUGCUUGCCCUAACAAUCAUCUUCUUCCAAACACCUGUGCACAUUUUUGAGGGAGUCUUGAGUUAGUUGCCGCUCUUGGGUGAUUUUCUCACAUUCCCUUAAAUCAUUAUACGCUAUUAACAAUGUUGAACGUGCUCUGUGCCGCAAGGCCAUUAAUAUAAUACAACUUUUAACAACGGAUCUCUUGGCUCUC
rnacentral:misc_RNA from 1 species